GGCCAUAUGGCUUAGUGGUUAAAGCCUGGCACCAGUGUAAUUUUUGUAAACUCUGGUACCUCCUCACGUGGGUUCGAAUCCCAGUACGGCCU